UACGUAGGGUCCAAGCGUUAAUCGGAAUUACUGGGCGUAAAGCGUGCGCAGGUGGUUACGCAAGUCUGAUGUGAAAUCCCCGGGCUCAACCUGGGAACUGCAUUGGAGACUGCGUGGCUAGAGUGUGGCAGAGGGGGGUGGAAUUCCGCGUGUAGCAGUGAAAUGCGUAGAGAUGCGGAGGAACACCAAUGGCGAAGGCAGCCCCCUGGGUUAACACUGACACUCAUGCACGAAAGCGUGGGGAGCAAAC
rnacentral:rRNA from 1 species